AACGCGAAGAACCUUACCUGGGCUCGAAGCGCAGUGGACCGGGGUAGAAAUAUCCCUUUUCGCAAGAACUGCUGCGGAGGUGCUGCAUGGCUGUCGUCAGCUCGUGUCGUGAGAUGUUGGGUUAAGUCCCGCAACGAGCGCAACCCUUAUCGUUAGUUGCCAGCGAGUCAAGUCGGGCACUCUAGCGAAACCGCCUCGGAUAACGGGGAGGAAGGUGGGGAUGACGUCAAGUCCUCAUGGCCUUUAUGUCCAGGGCUACACACGUGCUACAAUGCACGGUACAAACCGUCGCAAACCCGUGAGGGGGAGCUAAUCGGAAAAAGCCGUGCUCAGUUCGGAUUGGAGUCUGCAACCCGACUCCAUGAAGCUGGAAUCGCUAGUAAUCGCGGAUCAGAACGCCGCGGUGAAUACGUUCCCGGGCCUUGUACACACCGAGACGAC
rnacentral:rRNA from 1 species